CCCUUAGAUGUUCUGGGCUGCACGCGCGCUACACUGAUGCGCUCAACGAGUUUUAACCUUGCCUGGAAAGGUUGGGUAAUCUUUUUAAAACGCAUCGUGAUGGGGAUAGAUUAUUGCAAUUAUUAAUCUUCAACGAGGAAUUCCUAGUAAACGCAAGUCAUCAGCUUGCAUUGAUUACGUCCCUGCCCUUUGUACACACCGCCCGUCGCUCCUACCGAUUGAACGUUCCGAUGAAUACCAUGGAUUGAGAGUCUGAAUGGGUUCGCCUAUUUCUGCUUCUCGAGAAGUGGAGUAAAUCUUAGCGUUUAGAGGAAGGAGAAGUCGUAACA
rnacentral:rRNA from 1 species